UACGAAGGGGGCUAGCGUUGCUCGGAAUCACUGGGCGUAAAGCGCACGUAGGCGGAUCUUUAAGUCAGAGGUGAAAUCCCAAGGCUCAACCUUGGAACUGCCUUUGAUACUGGGGAUCUCGAGUCCGGAAGAGGUGAGUGGAACUGCGAGUGUAGAGGUGAAAUUCGUAGAUAUUCGCAAGAACACCGGUGGCGAAGGCGGCUCACUGGUCCGGUACUGACGCUGAGGUGCGAAAGCGUGGGGAGCAAACAGG
rnacentral:rRNA from 1 species